CCUACGGGAGGCAGCAGUGAGGAAUAUUGGUCAAUGGGCGAGAGCCUGAACCAGCCAAGUCGCGUGAAGGAUGACGGCCCUACGGGUUGUAAACUUCUUUUGUCAGGGAGCAAGUGGGUCCACGCGUGGGCUUAGCGAGAGGACCUGAAGAAAAAGCAGCGGCCAACUCCGUGCCAGCAGCCGCGGUAAUACGGAGGAUGCGAGCGUGAUCCGGAUUUAUUGGGUUGACAGGGUGCGUAGGCGGAAUAUCAAGUCAGCGGUAAAAAUUCGGGGCUCAACCCCGUCGUGCCGUUGAAACUGCUGUUCUUGAGUGGGCGCGAAGUAUGCGGCAUGCGUGGUGUAGCGGUGAACUGCAUAGCUCUCACGCAGAACUCCGAUUGCGACGGCAGCAUACCGGCGCCCAACUGACGCUGACGCACGAAAGCGUGGGUAUCGAACAGGAUUAGAUACCCGAGUAGUC
rnacentral:rRNA from 1 species